AUACGGAGGGUGCAAGCGUUGUCCGGAUUUAUUGGGUUUAAAGGGUGCGUAGGCGGUACGUUAAGUCAGUGGUGAAAUCCCUCAGCUCAACUGAGGAACUGCCAUUGAUACUGGCGUACUUGAGUACAGACGAGGUAGGCGGAAUUUAUGGUGUAGCGGUGAAAUGCAUAGAUACCAUAAAGAACACCGAUAGCGAAGGCAGCUUACUAGACUGUAACUGACGCUCAGGCACGAAAGCGUGGGGAGCGAACAGGAUUAGAAACCCUAGUAGUCC
rnacentral:rRNA from 1 species